rnacentral:rRNA from 1 species
CGCAGCCGCGGUAAUUCCAGCUCCAAUGGCGUAUAUUAAAGUUGUUGCAGUUAAAAAGCUCGUAGUUGAAUUUCGGAGUUUGUCGGUUGGUCGGGCUUCACUGUCCGCACUGGCCUGAUAGAUUCCUACCUUCUGAAUAACCAGCAUGCUAUUAAGUUAGUGCGUUGGGGAAGCAGAGCUAUUACCUUGAAAAAUUAGAGUGCUUAAAGCAGGCUUAUGCUUGAAUAGAUUAGCAUGGAAUAAUAAAAUAGGACGGCAUGGUUCUAUUUUGUUGGUUUCUAGGAUCACCGUAAUGAUUAAUAGGGAUAGUUGGGGGCAUUAGUAUUCAAUUGUCAGAGGUGAAAUUCUUGGAUUUAUUGAAGACUAACUUCUGCGAAAGCAUUUGCCAAGGAUGUUUUCAUUAAUCAAGAACGAAAGUUAGGGGAUCGAAGACGAUCAGAUACCGUCGUAGUCUUAACCAUAAACUAUGCCGACUAGGGAUCGGACGAUGUUAAUUUUUUCAAGUGACUCGUUCGGCGCC